rnacentral:lncRNA from 1 species
UUUUAUCCCUAAUUUUUGCCCGAACCUUUUCUUUUUUCUUUUUUGGUUCGCCGGGAUGCCCUUUUUUGCCUGGACUCUUUUACUCUUUUUUGUCCAGCGGGUCAAUUUUACGAAGUAUUUUCUAACUGCAUCCGCAUUCACAGGGGAUGGAAAAUCUUCAUCAUCCGUGGUUGUCGACAACAAGGCUCUAUCAGAGAAAACCCUUUUGACCACGAAUGGGAUCCAUAACUGUAUAUCCACUUGCCCGUACGAUCGUUGAGGAGGAAGGAU